GCUUUGUUUCUCCUCUUUCAGUAUCUUCAUGACCCCACCUACUUUAACAGUGGGGCCUUUAAAGCUUUGAAAUAUCAAGAAGUUGAGAACAACAUUAGCUUUAUCAGGACAACCUGCAACCACAGAGCGACCUCAAGAUUGAAAAGCCUGAGAGGAGUAGGCAUAGAGCACUUCAGACCUGAUCAACCUUUCCGAGAAGAUGCUGCUGCUCUGUUCUGGUUGGCUAAUCUCCUACCCUCCAGGGCUGAAGGAGCUCAGUCAGCGUGACUCUGGGGGCCCACGACAUCCUGAAUCAAGAGUGGACCCUGCAGGUCAUCCCUGUGAAAGAAGCCAUCCGCCACCCAGACUAUAUUCCUGGAGACUUCUUCAACGACAUCAUGAUACUAAAGUUGGAGAGAAAAGCCAAGCUGACUGCAGCUGUGCUGCCCCUCAGCAUCUCCAGGGGCACAGCUCAGGUGAGACCCAUAGAUGUGUGCCAUGUGGCCAGUUGAGGGCAAAUCGCCCCAAAAGGCAUCGUUUCCAACACGCUGCGGGAGGUGGAGCUGACUGUGGAGUAGGACGAGGUGUGCGAAUCCCACUUAUAUGAUCAUUACAAUAGUAGCACUCUGCUGUGCAUGGGGGACCUGAAGGAAAGGAAGACUUCCUCUGAGGGGGACUCUGGGAGCCCACUCAUCUGUAAGAACAUGCUCUAGGGCCUUGCCCUCCAUGGACAAGAUGACAGGACAAGUCCACGGGUCGUCAUCAAACUCUCAAGCUUCCAGCCCUGGAUAAAGGAAACCAUGAAAUCCUAUGAAAAGCCUCUAACUGUAGGAACCAGCCCACCUUCUCUGGAGCUGAUCCAGAAUGUCACCAGCAACCAAAUAAAUGUCUCUGAGCUGAGUAGGAA
rnacentral:lncRNA from 1 species